rnacentral:lncRNA from 1 species
CCAGAGCUCAGGCUCCCCCGUAUGGGCUUGGAGCAUCCCUGGUGGACUGCAGCCGUCCCCUCCCCCUUGGGACCUUCAUGGACACCUCUCCUGCUCCACGGGUGCUGCAGUGCGGGUGGGAGGGAGACUGUCAGUCCCUCCCACUUUGGAAAAGGCGUGGAGAUGCGUGGGUGCUUCUCAGAGGGCUUGAUGUGCCUACACGAUCCUAGGACACGGCUUCGUCACAGGGCAGGACUGCCACGGUGUCACUCAGUAACAAGAGUCAUGACGAGACGUGAGCUACGCGGAAGGGCAUGAACAUCUUCAGGAGGCCUGGGAUCCUCUCGUGGAGGUGGCAGACCAGUGACACCAGCCCUGUAGCACCAGCCUGGCACAUGUCCUCUCCCUUUCCACACAGAGCCUCCUCUUGAGCUGGCACAGUGGCUCACACCUGUGAUCCCAGCCACUUGGGAGGCUGAGGCAGGAGGAUCACAAAUUUGAGGCUGGUCUCAGCAACCCAGGACCUCAACAACUUAGUGGGACUCUUAAAAUUAAAAAUAAUCACAUUCUGCAAUCUGCAUACGGGGUAAAAAUGGGAGUUCAUAACCCACUUGAAUCAAAUGUAUGAAA